rnacentral:rRNA from 1 species
UAGGGAAUCUUCGGCAAUGGACGGAAGUCUGACCGAGCAACGCCGCGUGAGUGAAGAAGGUUUUCGGAUCGUAAAGCUCUGUUGUUAGAGAAGAACGAGUGUGAGAGUGGAAAGUUCACACUGUGACGGUAUCUUACCAGAAAGGGACGGCUAACUACGUGCCAGCAGCCGCGGUAAUACGUAGGUCCCGAGCGUUGUCCGGAUUUAUUGGGCGUAAAGCGAGCGCAGGCGGUUAGAUAAGUCUGAAGUUAAAGGCUGUGGCUUAACCAUAGUACGCUUUGGAAACUGUUUAACUUGAGUGCAAGAGGGGAGAGUGGAAUUCCAUGUGUAGCGGUGAAAUGCGUAGAUAUAUGGAGGAACACCGGUGGCGAAAGCGGCUCUCUGGCUUGUAACUGACGCUGAGGCUCGAAAGCGUGGGGAGCAAACAGGAUUAGAUACCCUGGUAGUCCACGCCGUAAACGAUGAGUGCUAGGUGUUAGACCCUUUCCGGGGUUUAGUGCCGCAGCUAACGCAUUAAGCACUCCGCCUGGGGAGUACGACCGCAAGGUUG